CGCCGAUAUCUGGCACCGGCGCCACCGCAAAGGUCCGGUCAUCGGCCACCACGCCGGCCGCCGAUAUCUGGCACCGGCGCCACCGCAUGCGGUGGCCGAAAAGUCAAAAAUCUCAGAUCUGACCCUCUUAAACCCCUUAAACCCAAAUCUAGCCCCGAAAUUGCCAAAAUAUCAACAGAGAAGGCCCAAAAUUGCGAGAAACCUUUCGGUUUUCGGUUGUCAAUCCUCGGUGAUGACUUCCUCGACCAUCAGCGGCGGUUGGGCUUCAAAUACAGGUUGUUUCUUUCUUUUCUUUCUAUUUAUUUUCUUAAAACAUACAUAAAAAACAGUAGAUUAAAAAAAGAAAAAUAAAAAAAAUAUCAACCUUGGAACGAUUUCUCUUUCGGUAUUGAACUAACUGUGUUUUUGCUAUAAAAUAAUUGUGUUUCUUUUUCUAUUGAUUCUUUUCCCCCAUUACAAUGUAUUUGAUGUCUUUUUAUAGUCGAAUGAAAAAUAAAUCAAAGAAAGAAACAAGAAAUCUGCUUGAUUUGAUUUGAUUCAAUUUGAUUUUCUUUCCUUUCUUGUGCUUAUUUCUUGCAGGCAAAGAUGCGGAGAUCCGGAGGCAAGGCGAGGCUCGACUGCGACGCUGUUGAAG
rnacentral:lncRNA from 1 species